rfam:Thermobispora bispora DSM 43833, complete genome.
GCCGGUCCUCGGUAGUGGCCCCCGGUUGGGAUACGGCACGUGCCGUACCUGCGGCAACCGGGCGCUUCGAUCGAAGACCGGC